rnacentral:rRNA from 1 species
CGGAUUAGCGGCGGACGGGUGAGUAACACGUGAGUAACCUGCCUUAGACAUUGGGAUAGCCUCGGGAAACCGGGAUUAAUACCAAAUAAAAUCAUAAUGACACAUGUCAUAACGAUCAAAACUCCGGUGGUCUAAGAUGGACUCGCGUCCCAUUAGCUAGUUGGUAGAGUAAAAGCUACCAAGGCGACGAUGGGUAGCCGGCCUGAGAGGGUGAACGGCCACAUUGGAGCUGAGAAACGGUCCAA